GACGAACGCUGGCGGCGUGCCUAAUACAUGCAAGUCGAGCGAGCUUGCCUAGAUGAUUUUAGUGCUUGCACUAAAUGAAACUAGAUACAAGCGAGCGGCGGACGGGUGAGUAACACGUGGGUAACCUGCCCAAGAGACUGGGAUAACACCUGGAAACAGAUGCUAAUACCGCAUAAGCCCACGACCCGGCAUCGGGUUGAGGGAAAAGGAGCGAUCCGCUUUGAGAUGGCCUCGCGUCCGAUUAGCUAGUUGGUGAGGUAACGGCCCACCAAGGCGACGAUCGGUAGCCGGACUGAGAGGUUGAACGGCCACAUUGGGACUGAGACACGGCCCAG
rnacentral:rRNA from 1 species